AACGAACGCUGGCGGCGCGCCUAAUACAUGCAAGUCGAGCGAGAAGGUGUAGCAAUACACUUGUAAAGCGGCGAACGGGUGAGGAAUACAUGGGUAAUCUACCAUCGAGUGGGGAAUAACCAACCGAAAGGUUGGCUAAUACCGCGUACGCCUCCGAGUCUUCGGGUUCGGAGGGAAAGCUGCACUGUGAGUGUAGCGCUCUUUGAUGAGCUCAUGUCCUAUCAGCUUGUUGGUAGGGUAACGGCCUACCAAGGCUUUGACGGGUAGCUGGUCUGAGAGGACGAUCAGCCACACUGGCACUGCGGCACGGGCCAGACUCCUACGGGAGGCAGCAGUAAGGAAUAUUGCGCAAUGGGCGAAAGCCUGACGCAGCGACGCCGCGUGGGGGAUGAAGGUCUUCGGAUUGUAAACCCCUUUCAGCAGGGACGAAGGGUGACUGACGGUACCUGUAGAAGAAGCACCGGCCAACUACGUGCCAGCAGCCGCGGU
rnacentral:rRNA from 1 species